rfam:Myotis brandtii contig191046, whole genome shotgun sequence.
GGCGGUUCUUGGGUCACGUAUCCCGGAAUCAGGCUCCUUCGUCUCUGGUUCCGGGUGCGUUACCCAAGAACCGCA